rnacentral:rRNA from 1 species
UACGAAGGGGGCUAGCGUUGCUCGGAAUCACUGGGCGUAAAGCGCACGUAGGCGGCCUGCUAAGUCAGGGGUGAAAUCCUGGAGCUCAACUCCAGAACUGCCUUUGAUACUGGCGAGCUCGAGUCCGGGAGAGGUGAGUGGAACUGCGAGUGUAGAGGUGAAAUUCGUAGAUAUCGGGAGGAACACCAGUGGCGAAGGCGGCGACCUGGGCCAAUACUGACGCUGAGGUGCGAAAGCGUGGGGAGCAAACAGG